CAGUCGCCACGGUAAUACGAAGGGUGCAAGCGUUACUCGGAAUUACUGGGCGUAAAGCGUGCGUAGGUGGUGGUUUAAGUCCGUUGUGAAAGCCCCGGGCUCAACCUGGGAAUGGCAAUGGAUACUGGCGAGCUAGAGUGUGUCAGAGGAUGGUGGAAUUCCCGGUGUAGCGGUGAAAUGCGUAGAGAUCGGGAGGAACAUCAGUGGCGAAGGCGGCCAUCUGGGGCAACACUGACGCUGAGGCACGAAAGCGUGGGGAGCAAACAGGAUUAGAUACCCGCGUAGUCCCUGUCUCUUAUAC
rnacentral:rRNA from 1 species